AGUGAACGCUGGCGGUAGGCCUAACACAUGCAAGUCGAACGGCAGCACAGUAAUAGCUUGCUCUUACGGGUGGCGAGUGGCGGACGGGUGAGGAAUACAUCGGAAUCUACUUUUUCGUGGGGGAUAACGUAGGGAAACUUACGCUAAUACCGCAUACGACCUACGGGUGAAAGCAGGGGAUCUUCGGACCUUGCGCGAUUGAAUGAGCCGAUGUCGGAUUAGCUAGUUGGCGGGGUAAAGGCCCACCAAGGCGACGAUCCGUAGCUGGUCUGAGAGGAUGAUCAGCCACACUGGAACUGAGACACGGUCCAGACUCCUCCGGGAGGCAGCAGUGGGGAAUAUUGGACAAUGGGCGCAAGCCUGAUCCAGCCAUACCGCGUGGGUGAAGAAGGCCUUCGGGUUGUAAAGCCCUUUUGUUGGGAAAGAAAAGCAGCAGGUUAAUACCCCGCUGUUCUGACGGUACCCAAAGAAUAAGCACCGGCUAACUUCGUG
rnacentral:rRNA from 1 species